AGUGAACGCUGGCGGUAGGCCUAACACAUGCAAGUCGAACGGCAACACAGUAAGAGCUUUCCCCUACGGGUGGCGAGUGGCGGACGGGUGAGGAAUACAUCGCAAUCUACUUUUUCGUGGGGAAUAACGUAGGGCAAAUACUGCUAAUACGCCAUACGUCCUACGGGUGAAUUCAGGGGCUCUUGGGACUUUUGGCGUUCGAUUGAGCCGAUGUCGGAUUGGCUAGUUGGCGGGGUAAAGGCCCACCAAGGCGACGCUCCGUAGCUAGUCUGAGAGGAUGAUCAGCCACACUGGAACUGAGACACGGUCCAGACUCCUACGGGAGGCAGCAGUUGGGAAUAUUGGACGAUGGGCGCAAGCCUGAUCCAGCCAUGCCGCGUGGGUGAAGAAGGCCUUCGGGUUGUAAAACCCUUUUGUUGGGGAAGAAAAGCUGCAGGUGAAAACACGGCUGUUCUGACGGUACCCAAAGAAUAAGCACCGGCUAACUUCGUG
rnacentral:rRNA from 1 species